rnacentral:sRNA from 1 species
GCGUUUGUAGUCCAACGGUUAGGAUAAUUGCCUUCC